CUGCCCGUUUCUCAUUCUGUUCGGUGCCUCUAUAGAGGACAAUACACGAAAGCGCCGUUCCUUGGAAGACGAACAUGGCGGCUCUCUCAAACCCACUGCCCAAAAGCCUAAAUGAUUUAACAGACCCUCGAAUGAUACAUCGCCAGCUGAAGUGACCUAUGAGGAUAAUGAGAACUUGAAGGCUGAAGAGUUCUCGGGUUUCAAUUCUGUACAUGCGGGUCGGGUCGGGUCAAAAUGCGUCCAGCGGAUUUCGACUUCUUCCAGAUUCUUCUUCACUCUCAGUACAGUACGUCUUCUUCUCCACGAAAACCCACCAACCUCCCUUGACAACAAACUAGAUACGAAGACCUACGAAAUGCGUUAGGGUUUUGGGGGGAAAAACAAGGGAGAUCACACCACUAGAAUUUUAGCGUCGGAGUUCUCCCCUUUUCAGCCGUUUGAGUCCCAAUGUCAUCGCUCACGAGUACCUCGAGUUUUGUUGCUCUUCUCUCAAGUUUCGCCUCCUUCCUCUUGCUCAACCUCGCUUUCUCUGUCAACCCCCUGCCAUUUCCUAUUCUUUUGUCUUUCCUUUCUUUUCUUUUUCUUUUUCUUUUUCUUCUACUUUUUACCCUCAGAAGUGUUGGUACAAUUUGCCUUUCUCUCUCUUUAUUUAUUGCUCCGGUUAUUAUAGGUAUUCCUCAUUUUUACAAAUGUAGGUAUUAUUGAGGAGUUUGGAAAAUUUUGUAACUCGGUGGAGACCAAACCCAAACCAAGAAGUGUCACACUUUUCAGGUAAGUGGCUCCUCAGAACCUUAGAAUUAGCUAUGUUCGUAGUAUGUAUGAAAGUAUGAUAUGAGGAGUAAGUCAUAGAAAUUUGAGCAAGAAAUGAGUUGGUUUGAUGUAUGUAGAAGCACGUUAAACGUUAUGAUGUACGUAUAUUGAGAAA